rnacentral:lncRNA from 1 species
CCCUCCCUGCUCUUCCCUAGUUAUGGUAGAGUCUAUGCGGCUGCUGAUCCCUACCAUCAUACCAUCGGCCCCACAGCAACCUACAGCAUCGGAACCAUGGUAAGAAGAGCCUCCAGUAAGGAGGAGGAGAUCCAUCCCAUAAUGGGCGGGGCGAGGCUGCAGGGAGAGGCCGAGAGCUCUAGCCACUGCCUAGACUUGGGAAGAACUAUUGAGAGGGAGGGACCAAUCCUCCCUUGUGACCACACCUCUGGGAAGCAUAAAGACCACUAUCCCUGUCAAGGUUCCUCCAUUCCCAGUAUCAGGAGAGCAAAGGAAAUCAGUACAGCCUCUCUGCAGGGGCUCCAGAGGCCUGGCAGUUUGGGCAAAUGUAACCCAUUCCU